UUGUUGACCGCUGGCAUCGGUGUGAUGUUGCCCACGUGCGGGUGUGGUAGAGCUGGAGCAAGCAAUCCAAAGGUAACUUCAUUUUUGGUGUGCUAAAUGAGGAGACAUUUUCAGUUCUAACGCUCAGUAUUUUUCAGGCUCUAAUCUGAACGAGAUUGUUCGAACCAUCAAACUAUUAAAGCUGAACAUGUUUCAGUUGAAUAGCACCAUCGCUGGCCUGUACCCUACAUAAGGCAUGCCAUGGAUGUGGGAUUUUUGAGAGAUUUGUUCCGGUGCACGGCCCACGUGAGGACUUAGGGAAAACUCAGCUGAAAUUGUGCAAAUUUCUGGAUGUUGUCAUUAAUUUCAGGCUAUCAAAUUUCAUGACACCGAAAUUGUUCACAGAGGUGAUCGGUAGCAUGUGUUUUUAGUUUGAAGGUUAUAAUGUCAUUAUUUAACAGAACAAAUUUAAAGUUUUCAGCAAAGAGAUUUUGGCAAUGUUCCAUGAGGAUGAAAGUCAAGGAAAGGUUUUGAGUGGCACUUUAGAGGACACAACUGUAAUUGGGCCAGUCUAGUGGACUGUAGGUACCUCCGUAUCCUUUACCGUACUCCUAAACUGAAAACAAGCUCCCACAUGGUCUGGCCACACUCAGUGUAGCAUUAGCAGAUCAGCAGCUACACGUAGAGACAAGUCAACUUACAAGUAUUGUCCCUUAUAAUUGGAGUGAAUCUUCUGCUUGAGUCCUGGUCUGCUAGAGUCAGUGAUUGAAGCCUGAGUGUAUUCUGGGUUCACUUUACACACUGUUGUUUUAGUUUUUAGUCUUUGGUCUUUUUAAGUGUUACUGUUAGGUUAUGGGUUUUUAAGUUACUGCUCUAGGGUGGGUUGGUGUUUUGACGUGUUUUGUUUCAAAAUCUAGAAUCGGUGUCUGAUGAGUACAGUACUUACUAAGUAAGUUACAGUAAGUUCCCUGCAAUUUUUCCCUUGCAUUCUUCAUCAAUUUUAGUUUGCAGUUCUCCCCCGUAGCAUCGUACUUAUUUUGUAAGCUCAUCCUGUAUGUGUACUUCUUCAGUGCAUUGGCACACUUCAAUGCUUGGCCCAACCGUUACACGCACCUGGAACCUUUGUAAUGAACAUAUAUACAUCUCAUUCAGCCCAACGUUCGUGGAUGAUUAUUCGCUGGAGGUGCCAAGCACAUACGGGCAUAUUGUGCAACAACUCGGCUGGCACAUGCAUACACGGGCUUAGGCCAUGUCCGAAACGGGCCUCCACAGCGACAGCUAGGUCGUUUGUCCCUUUAGUUGCGGAUUGUGUAUGCACGCACGCAGCAAAUUCAACUACAUGUACAUGUGUCUAACUGAUUAUUCUGUGACGUGAUGGAUUGGUCAACUUUACGCCACAAGGGGAUGUUGUUGGUUUUUAUUGAAACAAGCAGAAAAAACAAGCACAGUGGAGUAAACUUUUACCAUUGGACCGAGAGAAAACACAAUUUCCUUGGCAUGACAGGCUCCUUUGGUACUAACUAUGCAUCACUGGUUCAUGAACGACUAGGAUGUGCCCCAUCGCUACCAACAAAAUGAAUACUCCCAACCAACACGGCUCUUCUCAACCAAUUAGGCUGUGCUUCUACUCAAAGUAGAUAGCAUUUGGGGAUGGCAGCUGAAACCUUAACUGGAAGAGAUUGACUGGCUGAAAAAAUAGCAGUGACAGAGAGACAAGAACAAGCUAGUCCCUGGACAAAGUUUUCUGAAGUGUGACAGAUCAGACAUAUCAUAUCACUAGAGACAAUACUGGACCAGUAUGGCAACAGCUUACAUCGUUUUCUGAUAUUAGUCUGUGGUACUGCCAAUGGAAUUUUCAUCCAGAAUACUAUCACCUCUUGGCUGACAAGAUCUACAAGAUCCAGAAGGAGCUGCAGCAGAAGCGACAGAAGAGGAUGCAGGAUUCAGGAGGUACUGAUGCUGCCGCUGGAGGCAUCCUCACGAUGGCUGCAGCGCAGCUGCCCCAGCCACAGCCUCCCCACUAACUGCCCAGACCAGUAUGUCCACUGGGAAAAUGUAGCUCUUUCAACCAACUUAUAUCAGAAUUAUGCUGUACAUAACGAAAUGUUUAUGGUCUUGAAGGGUUAUUUUGGUGUCAGUGUUGCUUUGGCUCAGCAAUGAAAAGUGGACUGGUAGAAUGGGGCGUCAGGUUGGCAUAGUGACACUUUUGUCACCUUACACUUCUGUGAAUCCAGCCGAGGUUAUCAUGUGGAUUUUGCAGUCUUUACUUAACUUUGUGGGUUUUUCUCUAUAAUGGUCAUGUGGAGUUUUUCCUUCCACUUCUAAAACUGAACUUUAUCCUCAUAUAUUUGCAGUUGUAAUUUGAAGUUGUAGAUCGUCACAUUUCUCAAGUUACUGGCAGCCCAUUGAAAAACAUCCUGGAGAUUAUGUUGCUACCAUCAAUGAAUAAAGCUGAAAUUGUUAUUGUUGUUGGAAUUACACAGGGGAAAUGGUAUUGUUUAUGGUAGCAGGGCCAGGUUUCCUUCUUUUUUUAACGUUGGUCGCUUAUUGCUUUUGUUUUGCUGGGGAUUAUUGGAGGUGCUGCUGUGCACUCCAGCUUGCCCAUUGCAGGAGUGAUGUGUAGGGCUAGAAAGUUUGGAGUAUUAAUACAAAUUGCAGUGACCCAUAGUCAUAAGUACCUUCCCUUUCU
rnacentral:lncRNA from 1 species